AUUGAACGCUGGCGGCAUGCCUUACACAUGCAAGUCGAGCGGCAGCGCGGGGGCAACCCUGGCGGCGAGCGGCGAACGGGUGAGUAAUACAUCGGAACGUGUCCUUUCGUGGGGGAUAACCAGUCGAAAGACUGGCUAAUACCGCAUGAGAUCUCACGAUGAAAGCGAGGGACCGCAAGGCCUCGCGCGAUUGGAGCGGCCGAUGUCGGAUUAGCUAGUUGGCGGGGUAAUGGCCCACCAAGGCGACGAUCCGUAGCUGGUUUGAGAGAACGACCAGCCACACUGGGACUGAGACACGGCCCAGACUACUACGGGAGGCAGCAGUGGGGAAUUUUGGACAAUGGGCGCAAGCCUGAUUCAGCCAUGCCGCGUGUGUGAAGAAGGCCUUCGGGUUGUAAAGCACUUUCGGCCGGAACGAAAUCGCGCGGGUUAACAGCCCGCGUGGAUGACGGUACCGGAAGAAGAAGCACCGGCUAACUACGUGCCAGCCGCCGCCGUAAAAC
rnacentral:rRNA from 1 species